rnacentral:tRNA from 1 species
GCCAGCGUGGCGCAACGGUAGCGCAGCAGUUUUGUAAACUGCAUGUUGCAGGUUCGAAUCCUGUCGCUGGCUCCA